GGGCCAGUAGUUCAGUGGUAGAACGUUGCUCUUAUAAAGCAAAAGUCGGAGGUUCGAUCCCUCCCUGGCCCA
rnacentral:tRNA from 1 species